rnacentral:rRNA from 1 species
UAGUCCACGCCCUAAACGAUGCUCACUCGACGUAUGGACCUUGAGUUCGUGCGUCCAAGGGAAACCGAUAAGUGAGCCACCUGGGGAGUACGUUCGCAAGAAUGAAACUCAAAGGAAUUGACGGGGGCCCGCACAAGCGGUGGAGCAUGUGGUUUAAUUCGAUGAUACGCGAGGAACCUUACCAGGGCUUAAAUGUAGGAUGCAUUAGGUAGAGAUACUUAUUUCUUCGGACUUCUUACAAGGUGCUGCAUGGUUGUCGUCAGCUCGUGCCGUGAGGUGUCAGGUUAAGUCCUAUAACGAGCGCAACCCUUGUCGUUAGUUGCCAGCAUUUCAAGAUGGGGACUCUAACGAGACUGCCGGUGCAAACCGAGAGGAAGGUGGGGAUGACGUCAAAUCAUCACGGCCCUUACGUCCUGGGCUACACACGUGCUACAAUGGUAUGGACAGAGAGCAGCCACUAUGCGAAUAGGAGCGAAUCUACAAACCAUAUCACGU